CCCGCCCCCCGCCGAGCGGCGUGCAAAACCGGCGCGGCCGGGCCGGAGCCGAGCUGGGCUUCGAAACUCCCCAUCCGCUUGCAUCAAACAGGUCCCCGUCUGGCCGGAGCAAACAAGCAGCCUGUUGUACGAGCCUCGGGGGACGCGGCGAGCAGCUACCACUCUCCCGCGCCGACGUCCAUCGGGCAAAAGGGUCAUCUGAGCGGUUGGCGACAAAGACAUAACGGAGCUGUGGCAAACCGAAGCUGCGGCUCGGAAACGGUGUUUGGACUUGUCUGGAAUCAGAUGAUUUAAAAGAAAAAAAAGCUUCCCUGUAUCUCUAUGUGGAUUUCAAUUUAAAGAGAAGGGCAGUAAGAGCGUGAUGAAGCCGGAGCAGCUGGGAGGGAGCC
rnacentral:lncRNA from 1 species